rnacentral:rRNA from 1 species
UACGAAGGGGGCUAGCGUUGCUCGGAAUGACUGGGCGUAAAGGGCGCGUAGGCGGUUUGGACAGUCAGAUGUGAAAUUCCUGGGCUCAACCUGGGGGCUGCAUUUGAUACGUUCGGACUAGAGUGGGGAAGAGGGUCGUGGAAUUCCCAGUGUAGGGGUGAAAUUCGUAGAUAUUGGGAAGAACACCGGUGGCGAAGGCGGCGACCUGGUCCUUGACUGACGCUGAGGCGCGAAAGCGUGGGGAGCAAACAGG